ACAAUGGAGAGUUUGAUCCUGGCUCAGGAUGAACGCUAGCUACAGGCUUAACACAUGCAAGUCGAGGGGAAACGACAUCGAAAGCUUGCUUUUGAUGGGCGUCGACCGGCGCACGGGUGAGUAACGCGUAUCCAACCUGCCCACCACUUGGGGAUAACCUUGCGAAAGUAAGACUAAUACCCAAUGAUAUCUCUAGAAGACAUCUGAAGGAGAUUAAAGAUUUAUCGGUGAUGGAUGGGGAUGCGUCUGAUUAGCUUGUUGGCGGGGUAACGGCCCACCAAGGCGACGAUCAGUAGGGGUUCUGAGAGGAAGGUCCCCCACAUUGGAACUGAGACA
rnacentral:rRNA from 1 species